ACGGAAGGCAGCAGUGAGGAAUAUUGGUCAAUGGGCGAGAGCCUGAACUAGCCAGGUCGCGUGAAGGAUGAAGGUUCUAUGGAAUGUAAACUUCUUUUAUUCGAGGGUAAAGUGAGUCACGUGUGGUUCAUUGCAAGUAUCGAAUGAAUAAGCAUCGGCUAACUCCGUGCCAGCAGCCGCGGUAAUACGGAGGAUGCGAGCGUUAUCCGGAUUUAUUGGGUUUAAAGGGUGCGUAGGCGGGACGUUAAGUCAGUGGUAAAAGCGUGUGGCUCAACCAUACCAAGCCAUUGAAACUGUCGUUCUUGAGUGUAAACGAGGUAGGCGGAAUGUGACGUGUAGCGGUGAAAUGCUUAGAUAUGUCACAGAACCCCGAUUGCGAAGGCAGCUUACCAGCAUACAACUGACGCUGAGGCACGAAAGCGUGGGUAUCAAACAGGAUUAGAUACCCUGGUA
rnacentral:rRNA from 1 species